rnacentral:rRNA from 1 species
CCUACGGGAGGCAGCAGUGAGGAAUAUUGGACAAUGGGCGCAAGCCUGAUCCAGCCAUGCCGCGUGCAGGAAGAAGCAUCUAUGGUGUGUAAACUGCUUUUGUACGGGAAGAAACACCUCUACGUGUAGAGGCUUGACGGUACCGUAAGAAUAAGGAUCGGCUAACUCCGUGCCAGCAGCCGCGGUAAUACGGAGGAUCCAAGCGUUAUCCGGAAUCAUUGGGUUUAAAGGGUCCGUAGGCGGUUUAGUAAGUCAGUGGUGAAAGCCCAUCGCUCAACGAUGGAACGGCCAUUGAUACUGUUAGACUUGAAUUAUUAGGAAGUAACUAGAAUAUGUAGUGUAGCGGUGAAAUGCUUAGAUAUUACAUGGAAUACCAAUUGCGAAGGCAGGUUACUACUAAUGGAUUGACGCUGAUGGACGAAAGCGUGGGGAGCGAACAGGAUUAGAUACCCUGGUAGUCCACGCCGUAAACGAUGGAUACUAGCUGUUCGGAGCAAUCUGAGUGGCUAAGCGAAAAGUGAUAAGUAUCCACCUGGGGAGUACGUUCGCAAGAAUGAAACUCAAAUGAAAUUGACGG